rnacentral:rRNA from 1 species
UUAAGCGACUAAGCGUACACGGUGGAUGCCCUGGCAGUCAGAGGCGAUGAAGGACGUGCUAAUCUGCGAUAAGCGUCGGUAAGGUGAUAUGAACCGUUAUAACCGGCGAUUUCCGAAUGGGGAAACCCAGUGUGUUUCGACACACUAUCAUUAACUGAAUCCAUAGGUUAAUGAGGCGAACCGGGGGAACUGAAACAUCUAAGUACCCCGAGGAAAAGAAAUCAACCGAGAUUCCCCCAGUAGCGGCGAGCGAACGGGGAGGAGCCCAGAGCCUGAAUCAGUGUGUGUGUUAGUGGAAGCGUCUGGAAAGGCGCGCGAUACAGGGUGACAGCCCCGUACACAAAAAUGCACAUGCUGUGAGCUCGAUGAGUAGGGCGGGACACGUGGUAUCCUGUCUGAAUAUGGGGGGACCAUCCUCCAAGGCUAAAUACUCCUGACUGACCGAUAGUGAACCAGUACCGUGAGGGAAAGGCGAAAAGAACCCCGGCGAGGGGAGUGAAAAAGAACCUGAAACCGUGUACGUACAAGCAGUGGGAGCCUCUUUUAUGGGGUGACUGCGUACCUUUUGUAUAAUGGGUCAGCGACUUAUAUUCUGUAGCAAGGUUAACCGAAUAGGGGAGCCGAAGGGAAACCGAGUCUUAACUGGGCGUUAAGUUGCAGGGUAUAGACCCGAAACCCGGUGAUCUAGCCAUGGGCAGGUUGAAGGUUGGGUAACACUAACUGGAGGACCGAACCGACUAAUGUUGAAAAAUUAGCGGAUGACUUGUGGCUGGGGGUGAAAGGCCAAUCAAACCGGGAGAUAGCUGGUUCUCCCCGAAAGCUAUUUAGGUAGCGCCUCGUGAAUUCAUCUCCGGGGGUAGAGCACUGUUUCGGCAAGGGGGUCAUCCCGACUUACCAACCCGAUGCAAACUGCGAAUACCGGAGAAUGUUAUCACGGGAGACACACGGCGGGUGCUAACGUCCGUCGUGAAGAGGGAAACAACCCAGACCGCCAGCUAAGGUCCCAAAGUCAUGGUUAAGUGGGAAACGAUGUGGGAAGGCCCAGACAGCCAGGAUGUUGGCUUAGAAGCAGCCAUCAUUUAAAGAAAGCGUAAUAGCUCACUGGUCGAGUCGGCCUGCGCGGAAGAUGUAACGGGGCUAAACCAUGCACCGAAGCUGCGGCAGCGACGCUGAUGCGUUGUUGGGUAGGGGAGCGUUCUGUAAGCCUGCGAAGGUGUGCUGUGAGGCAUGCUGGAGGUAUCAGAAGUGCGAAUGCUGACAUAAGUAACGAUAAAGCGGGUGAAAAGCCCGCUCGCCGGAAGACCAAGGGUUCCUGUCCAACGUUAAUCGGGGCAGGGUGAGUCGACCCCUAAGGCGAGGCCGAAAGGCGUAGUCGAUGGGAAACAGGUUAAUAUUCCUGUACUUGGUGUUACUGCGAAGGGGGACGGAGAAGGCUAUGUUGGCCGGGCGACGGUUGUCCCGGUUUAAGCGUGUAGGCUGGUUUUCCAGGCAAAUCCGGAAAAUCAAGGCUGAGGCGUGAUGACGAGGCACUACGGUGCUGAAGCAACAAAUGCCCUGCUUCCAGGAAAAGCCUCUAAGCAUCAGGUAACAUCAAAUCGUACCCCAAACCGACACAGGUGGUCAGGUAGAGAAUACCAAGGCGCUUGAGAGAACUCGGGUGAAGGAACUAGGCAAAAUGGUGCCGUAACUUCGGGAGAAGGCACGCUGAUAUGUAGGUGAAGUCCCUCGCGGAUGGAGCUGAAAUCAGUCGAAGAUACCAGCUGGCUGCAACUGUUUAUUAAAAACACAGCACUGUGCAAACACGAAAGUGGACGUAUACGGUGUGACGCCUGCCCGGUGCCGGAAGGUUAAUUGAUGGGGUCAGCGCAAGCGAAGCUCUUGAUCGAAGCCCCGGUAAACGGCGGCCGUAACUAUAACGGUCCUAAGGUAGCGAAAUUCCUUGUCGGGUAAGUUCCGACCUGCACGAAUGGCGUAAUGAUGGCCAGGCUGUCUCCACCCGAGACUCAGUGAAAUUGAACUCGCUGUGAAGAUGCAGUGUACCCGCGGCAAGACGGAAAGACCCCGUGAACCUUUACUAUAGCUUGACACUGAACAUUGAGCCUUGAUGUGUAGGAUAGGUGGGAGGCUUUGAAGUGUGGACGCCAGUCUGCAUGGAGCCGACCUUGAAAUACCACCCUUUAAUGUUUGAUGUUCUAACGUGGACCCGUAAUCCGGGUUGCGGACAGUGUCUGGUGGGUAGUUUGACUGGGGCGGUCUCCUCCUAAAGAGUAACGGAGGAGCACGAAGGUUGGCUAAUCCUGGUCGGACAUCAGGAGGUUAGUGCAAUGGCAUAAGCCAGCUUGACUGCGAGCGUGACGGCGCGAGCAGGUGCGAAAGCAGGUCAUAGUGAUCCGGUGGUUCUGAAUGGAAGGGCCAUCGCUCAACGGAUAAAAGGUACUCCGGGGAUAACAGGCUGAUACCGCCCAAGAGUUCAUAUCGACGGCGGUGUUUGGCACCUCGAUGUCGGCUCAUCACAUCCUGGGGCUGAAGUAGGUCCCAAGGGUAUGGCUGUUCGCCAUUUAAAGUGGUACGCGAGCUGGGUUUAGAACGUCGUGAGACAGUUCGGUCCCUAUCUGCCGUGGGCGCUGGAGAACUGAGGGGGGCUGCUCCUAGUACGAGAGGACCGGAGUGGACGCAUCACUGGUGUUCGGGUUGUCAUGCCAAUGGCACUGCCCGGUAGCUAAAUGCGGAAGAGAUAAGUGCUGAAAGCAUCUAAGCACGAAACUUGCCCCGAGAUGAGUUCUCCCUGACUCCUUGAGAGUCCUGAAGGAACGUUGAAGACGACGACGUUGAUAGGCCGGGUGUGUAAGCGCAGCGAUGCGUUGAGCUAACCGGUACUAAUGAACCGUGAGGCUUAACCUU